ACAUAUAAGAUUAACAAAUAGUUAAAAUUCCAAAUACCUAGUGAACGGCAAACCCAAUUUAGAAAUAGGGAAAUAUGUUACUGAACCUGGUUUGUUUGCUGGACAGGUAACUGGCAGAAGAAUGAGACUCCGAGGUUUGUGUAUUCAUGAGGUAGCCAUGCCAGCAGAGGGGAGAACAUCCCAAAUCUGCCUCCGGAAAGGGAAGCGGAGCGGCUCAGGAUUCUGAUGCGACCAAGCUGAAGCUGGGGGAGCACACGGAAGGGGACUGGAGAGAAAUGGGUAAGGCGAUCGUCCUUCUGCGCAGGCGCAGUCAAGCCAAGGCUGCUUCACUGGAGGCACCUGCAGAAAAUGAUGGCGUUAGCAUGCGGGGGCAGGGGGCGAGGUUGGGUCCUCUGGUGGCUGAAGGUCCCUGAGUGAACACUCGCUGGACAUGCCCAGCUGGAAGGUCAGUGGUCUUAAUAACCUGCUCAAGCUUGAAAUGGACACAGCUGACUCCAGCUUACUAAAAGACCAACUUACGCAAACACCUUUAUUCUUUAGGCUGCAGGGAAGCUUGGAAGACAUGCAAACCUUCUGCAUCGACAAUUAAAGGAGCUUGAGCGGUGAGGGCAGGUUACAGGUGUAGUGAAUCUAACUAACGAUCACCCUCGGUUUCCAGUAUGCUGCUGCUGCUGCUGUUGCUACUAAGUCGCUUCAGUCGUGUCCGACUCUGUGCGACCCCAUAGACGGCAGCCCACCAGGCUCCCCCGUCCCUGGGAUUCUCCAGGCAAGAACACUGGAGUGGGUUGCCAUUUCCUUCUCCAAUGCAUGAAAAUGAAAAGUGAAAGGGAAGUCGCUCAGUCGUGUCCGACUCCUAGCGACCCCAUGGACUGCAGCCCACCAGGCCCCUCCAUCCAUGGGAUUUUCCAGGCAAGAGUACUGGAGUGGGGUGCCAUUGCCUUCUCCGGGUUUCCAGUAUAAACAAGAUAAAUACAAAGAGACAGUUUACAGAAAACUAAAAUGGGGGAAAACAUGAGACAUGUUCUUCUCUCUAGCCGUCAAGGACAUACCAAUAAAAACAAAGUGAACAGAGAGGACACAAAGGAACCAGAGAAGGUGAGACCGAAGGAGCCUGGCUCCCUGAAUCACCGAUGGGAGCAGAGACACCUGCAAGCCUGUGACCAGGAGCACCCACACUGGAACAUUACAGGACCCAGGACAGAGCUCCCGCUGUGCUCCGCCACCCGCAUCUUGGGCUGUCUGUCACAUAGCACGAUGGGUUUACCUUACCCCGUGCACUCCGGGUCCAAGAAUGAAGAAAUACAGCCGUCAAUUCUUUAGUAGACUCCAGAGCCCUUUCCUUCCUGCCUGCAUUUUCCUGUCUGUAUUGUGCUCUCAUGCAGCGGGGGUUUUCAGCAAUAAAUAAGACAAAAAUCGUGAGCACCUCUCUCUCUAUCUACCACACACUGGCCAACGGUGAAUUCAGACUCUGUCAUGAAGUUGGGGGUGUCCUGGCUGGAACCAGGUGGCUCUCUCAGAUGAAGGCAGUUGAAAGAGAGCUGAAGAAAGGGAUGCUUAGAGAAGAAGGGG
ensembl:lncRNA